rnacentral:rRNA from 1 species
AUUGAACGCUGGCGGCAUGCUUUACACAUGCAAGUCGAACGGCAACGCGGAGAAGCUUGCUUCUCUGUCGGCGAGUGGCGAACGGGUGAGUAUAGCAUCGGAACGUGCCAAGUAGUGGGGGAUAACCAAACGAAAGUUUGGCUAAUACCGCGUAAGCUCCAAGGAGGAAAGUAGGGGACCUAAAUAAGGCCUUACGCUAUUUGAUCGGCCGAUGUCGGAUUAGCUAGUUGGUGGGGUAAUGGCUCACCAAGGCAAUGAUCCGUAGCGGGUCUGAGAGGACGAUCCGCCACACUGGGACUGAGACACGGCCCAGACUCCUACGGGAGGCAGCAGUGGGGAAUUUUGGACAAUGGGGGAAACCCUGAUCCAGCCAUGCCGCGUGUAUGAAGAAGGCCUUAGGGUUGUAAAGUACUUUUGUUAGGGAAGAAAAGCUAGUUUUUAAUAAAAAGUAGUGAUGACGGUACCUAAAGAAUAAGCACCGGCUAACUACGUG